AGACUGGUCAAAGCUGACAGGAAGGUGACAGUAACACAAAUAUCCACACAUUACAACAGUGGUAGAAGAGCAUCUCUGAACACACAACGCAUCAUAACAUUAAAUGGAUAGCCUACAGCAGUAGAAGUCGAUCAGUUAAUCACAACAAUCUUUUUUGUGUUCCUUUCUGUUUUUCAGUGUUGUUUCUCGUGAAAGGUGCACUGCUUCUUGCCUUUGGAUUAAUUUCAUUCAUAUAUUGUCUGGUCAAAUGUAGAUGUGUGUGUCAGAAAGUCUUCCUUCUGCUUUGGUCCAUUCUUGAUAUUACAUUGAGCUUUGUAAUUCUGGACAUCAUUUUGGAAGACGAUAAAGAACUCCCUGCAUGGAUGUGUUUCAAUGUAUUCCUCUACGUCAUGACUGCCACAGUGGUCUUUCAGCA